rnacentral:rRNA from 1 species
GCAGAGCAUCCUACGGGGAGGCAGCAGUGGGGAAUAUUGCACAAUGGGCGCAAGCCUGAUGCAGCCAUGCCGCGUGUAUGAAGAAGGCCUUCGGGUUGUAAAGUACUUUCAGCAGUGAGGAAGGUGGGUAUGUUAAUAGCAUAUUCAUUUGACGUUAGCUGCAGAAGAAGCACCGGCUAACUCCGUGCCAGCAGCCGCGGUAAUACGGAGGGUGCGAGCGUUAAUCGGAAUUACUGGGCGUAAAGCGCAUGCAGGUGGUUUGUUAAGUCAGAUGUGAAAGCCCGGGGCUCAACCUCGGAAUUGCAUUUGAAACUGGCAAACUAGAGUACUGUAGAGGGGGUAGAAUUUCAGGUGUAGCGGUGAAAUGCGUAGAGAUCUGAAGGAAUACCGGUGGCGAAGGCGGCCCCCUGGACAGAUACUGACACUCAGAUGCGAAAGCGUGGGGAGCAAACAGGAUUAGAUACCCUGGUAG